rnacentral:rRNA from 1 species
UACGAAGGGUGCAAGCGUUAAUCGGAAUUACUGGGCGUAAAGGGUGCGUAGGCGGUUCGUUAAGUCUGUCGUGAAAUCCCCGGGCUCAACUUGGGAAUUGCAAUGGAUACUGGCAGGCUGGAGUAUGGUAGAGGAAGGUGGAAUUCCCGGUGUAGCAGUGAAAUGCGUAGAGAUCGGGAGGAACACCAGUGGCGAAGGCGGCCGUCUGGACCAAUACUGACGCUCAUGCACGAAAGCGUGGGGAGCAAACAGG